CGGCAACAGCUCAAAUUUGAAAUCCGGCUCCCCUGGGGGCCUGAGUUGUAAUUUGUAGAGGAUGCUUCGGCGUUGGUACCGGUCUAAGUCCCUUGGAACAGGGCGUCUGAGAGGGUGAGAAUCCCGUAUGUGACCGGCCGCCUUCGCCAUGUGAAGCUCCUUCGAC
rnacentral:rRNA from 1 species